CUUCUUCAAACCAAGCCAAAACAAAAGAUAUACAUGCUGCCAGUAAUAAAAUCCUAACUAGCAAGUCUUCAAACUGCUCAAUCACAAGUUCCAGCAAGGUUUUUCCUUCUUCAGCCGGUAACUCGUUGGAGCCCCAUCUCUCCUUAAGCUUCUUGACCUGUUCCAGGCUCAGCCCCGUACUCUCGUUGACGCCGAAGUGGCCCAGCACCUCCUCCACCGUCUUGGUGUGCGCGUUCUCCAUGGCUUCGGGGGCCCGGCCGGCCUCGCCUCCCGUCCCCGCGGCCUCCUCGCCUCCGCCUCGCACUCCGGCCGCGGGCUCGUGCCACCCCGGGAGCCCAGGCGCGGACGGGCUCUCCCCUCCUCCUCUUGCGGCCGCUUCCGCCUCGCCGGGCGCUGAAUCACCCCGCGCCCCCUCCCCCAGACAACCGCCCCUCGCGCGGCCCCGAGCUCCGCAGGGCGGGUUGGGGGCUCCUGACCCACCCUCCCUCCCCUCGCCAGAAGGGAGGGCCUCCCUCGCCCUCAGCCGCCCGCCGGGAGGGCAGGCCGCGGCCCCCGAGCCCCCUCCCCGCUCUCUUGAGGCGAUCAGAGGCCCCGCCCGGGCCGGAGGAGGGGGCGCCCGGCAGACCACUGAGGGCGGAACGCGGCGAGGGAGGCGAGCCGGCGGGGCGGUGCGCGGCGCGCUCGCCCGGGUCCCUCAGCGCCGCACGCCCGACAGCGGCGGAG
rnacentral:lncRNA from 1 species